rnacentral:lncRNA from 11 species
CUUGCCCAAUGUUAUGAUGGAGAGCUCUGUGGAGUGGAAGACAAACGUCUUGCAGAAUACAAUGAAGUUGUUCUUUACGUGUUCCUCGUUUGUGAGUCUGUGGUGUUGACCUCAACUCUGCUUAUGUGAGUAACUUGCUCCGCCAUGUCCCUCCAGCCUCCUAUGAAAUUCGGGAAUUCAAACUGAGGUUUUUGUUGAUCUUCUU